rnacentral:rRNA from 1 species
CGAGCGCAACCCUUGUCCUUAGUUACCAGCACGUUAUGGUGGGCGACUCUAAGGAGGAACUGCCGGGUGGACGAAACCGGAGGAAGGUGGGGAUGACGUCAAGUCAUCAUGGCCCUUACGGCCUGGGCUACACACGUGCUACAAUGGUCGGUACAAAGGGUUGCCAAGCCGCGAGGUGGAGCUAAUCCCAUAAAACCGAUCGUAGUCCGGAUCGCAGUCUGCAACUCGACUGCGUGAAGUCGGAAUCGCUAGUAAUCGUGAAUCAGAAUGUCACGGUGAAUACGUUCCCGGGCCUU